CACGGCCUAUCAGCUUGUUGGUGAGGUAAUGGCUCACCAAGGCGACGACGGGUAGCCGGCCUGAGAGGGUGACCGGCCACACUGGGACUGAGACACGGCCCAGACUCCUACGGGAGGCAGCAGUGGGGAAUAUUGCACAAUGGGCGAAAGCCUGAUACAGCGACGCCGCGUGAGGGAUGACGGCCUUCGGGUUGUAAACCUCUUUCAGUAGGGAAGAAGCGAAAGUGACGGUACCUGCAGAAGAAGCGCCGGCUAACUACGUGCCAGCAGCCGCGGUAAUACGUAGGGCGCAAGCGUUAUCCGGAAUUAUUGGGCGUAAAGAGCUCGUAGGCGGUUUGUCGCGUCUGCCGUGAAAGUCCGGGGCUCAACUCCGGAUCUGCGGUGGGUACGGGCAGACUAGAGUGAUGUAGGGGAGACUGGAAUUCCUGGUGUAGCGGUGAAAUGCGCAGAUAUCAGGAGGAACACCGAUGGCGAAGGCAGGUCUCUGGGCAUUAACUGACGCUGAGGAGCGAAAGCAUGGGGAGCGAACAGGAUUAGAUACCCUGGUAGUCCAUGCCGUAAACGUUGGGCACUAGGUGUGGGGGACAUUCCACGUUUUCCGUACCGUAGCUAACGCAUUAAGUGCCCCGCCUGGGGAGUACGG
rnacentral:rRNA from 1 species